GUGUGCUUGCUUCAAUAGCACACAUACACUAAAAUUGGAAUGAUACAGAGAAGACUGGUGUGGCCCCUGCACAGGGAUGGCACACAGAUUCGUGAGAAUAUUGUU